rnacentral:tRNA from 1 species
CUGUUGGUGGUAAGGGCUUGCUGCGCCCUGUAGGCGGGUCUACAGCCCGCCGCCUGCCUCGGCCAUACUACC